rnacentral:lncRNA from 10 species
GGGGAGGAUGAUGGGGAAUGUGGGACCUUCAGGAGCAGAAGCCCCAGCUGACAGCCAGGAGGGAGAGGGGGCCCUGGGCUCACAAUUGCAAAAACCUGAAUUCUGCCGACAACAAUAAUGGGCUCAGAAGCGGGUCCUCUCCCAGGCCUCCCGCUCAGAGCCCAGCCGGCCAACGCCUGGACUCUGGCCGAGAGACUCUCGGCAGCAAAUCCAGUGGAGCCCCCCGACUUCUGACACCAGAAACCGUCUGUGAGUGCAGGUCUGCGUUCUCAAGCCGCUAAACUCACGGAGAUUUCUACGCAGCUGCAGAAGAUGAAUGCAUCUCCCUUCUACGCCUUCUGCUGUGGCGGCCUAAAAGGAAUAAGGGAAAUAGAAAAUCAUUGUUAUGACAUUACAGUAAUAAUUGCUGCUGUCACCACUGAUAAAUGCUAAAAUUAGUGGACAGAAUUUUAAGGAAAAACAGGAUAUUUACGUAACUCAACAUAGCAGUUAUUGCAGUGGCUGUAGCAUGCGUCCUCACCCUCAUUUAUCUCCCUGUUUCUAGGAGACGGAGCUUAAUGUCACUCCCCUUGAGUGUGGACUGAAUUUAGUGACUCAAUUUCCAAGAAUUGAGCAAGAAAAGGGAAAAAUAAUAACUUUAUGUUGGAGAAAUGCACAGAGUUCACCUUGCCCAAGUGAUCAAAGGUGACUUCACAGUGGUAAGUCAGGACAAUACCCUGCACCCUGACGUGAUGUCGUGAAAGGGCACUCGCGUACGUGGUAUUCUCUCCACAAGUCCAUAACCCACGGCAAUUGUGAGUAAGCCUCAGACAAACCCCCACCGCGGGUCACUCUCCGACAUUGCUGGCAAUCCUCUUCAAGAGUGUGCAGGUUAUGAAAGGCCAGGACACACUGAGAAAGGGUCCCAGAUGUGAGGAGACGAAGGAGAUUUGACAGGAGAAGCAUGAUGGGAUCCUGGAACAGAGCAAGAACGUUAGUGAAGAACAGGUGAAAUGCUGCUAGAGCCUGUUGGUUCUUUGAUAAUAGCGUACCAAAAACAAUUUUUUAGUUUUGAUAACUGUACCAUGGUUAUGUAAUACAUUAACACUGGGGAAGCUCAGUGAAUAUGUGGACUCUUGGACUAUUUUUAUAACGCUUCUUGUGUAGAAGGUCUAAAAUGAUCUCAGAAUACAAAUUUAAAUAAAUUAAUUUAAUGCUCAAAACACCCUUGAUUGGAACUUACAGCUGGCCCUCUGUAUUCAUGGGUUCAACCAAUCACUAAUUAAAAAUAUUGGAAACAAAAAUUGCAUCUGUACUGACCAUAUGCAGACUUUUUCUUGUUAUUAUUCCCUGAAUAACACAGUAUACCGACUCUUUACAUAGCAUUUACAGCACAUUAGGUAUUGUAAGUAACACAGAGAUGAUCUGAAGCAUAUGGGAGGGUGUGUGGAGGUGGUAUGCAAACACUGCACCAUUUUACAGCACGGACUUGAGCAUCUGCAGAUUUUGGCAUCUCCGGG